GGGGAUGACAGGCCUAGACAAUGACUGAUCGCGCACUAAGCGCGAAGCAGAAGUUCCGGACCUUCUUAAACAAUCCGGAAAACAAUAACUGCUAAAUCAGUUCUUUCGCCCUUUGCGGCGAAUGACUUCUCUUUCGCCUACGCUAAGGCCUAAGUGAACACUCUUCUACCAGUUUGGCGGGUAGAGCACGGGUGUUAUACAGCCAAACUCGACAGUAGGCGCUCGCUUAGCGUCUACAUCUAAAACUAAAAGCUUUAGCACGCUGCGCUUUUGUUUACUUUUUAUGCAGCGUGCCGAGACAGUAAAGUAGACUACGCUUCGUAGAAGCCACUGCCUCAGUCAUUGCACGGCGGUUCAACUCCGCCCAUCUCCACAA
rnacentral:tmRNA from 1 species